GCUUGUCUCAAAGAUUAAGCCAUGCAUGUCUUAGUGUAAAUAACUCUUAUGAAACUGCGAAUGGCUCAUUAAAUCAGUUAUCGUUUAUUUGAUGGUCCCUUACUACAUGGAUAACCGUAGUAAUUCUAGAGCUAAUACAUGCGUAAAAUCCCGACUCUCGCGGGGAGGGAUGUAUUUAUUAGAUUAAAAGCCAAUGCGGGCUUCUGCCCGGUAUUGUGGUGAGUCAUAGUAACUUUUCGAAUCGCAUGGCUUCACGCCGGCGAUAGUUCAUUCAAAUUUCUGCCCUAUCAGCUUUCGACGGUAGUGUAGUGGACUACCGUGGCAUUUACGGGUGACGGAGAAUUAGGGUUCGAUUCCGGAGAGGGAGCCUGAGAAACGGCUACCACAUCCAAGGAAGGCAGCAGG
rnacentral:rRNA from 1 species